ACUGGGCACAGUGGCGAAUGCCUGUAAUCCCAGCAGCUUGGGAGGCUGAGGCAGGAAAAUUGAGAGUUCAAAGCCAGCCUCAA
rnacentral:sRNA from 1 species